GAUGAACGCUAGCUAUAGGCUUAACACAUGCGAGUCGAGGGACCGGCGCACGGGUGAGUAACGCGUAUCCAACCUGCCCAUAACUAAGGGAUAACCCAGCGAAAGUUGGACUAAUACCUUAUGGUUAUGGAUGGGGAUGCGUCGGAUUAGCUUGUUGGCGGGGUAACGGCCCACCAAGGCACCGAUCAGUAGGGGUUCUGAGAGGAAGGUACCCUAGAGUUGAACUGAGGCCCGGUCCAAACUGCUAGGGGACGCAGCAGAGAGGUGUAUUGGGGGAGGAACGCUAGUCUGACCCUGCCAAGUAUCGUGAAGGAUGACGGGGUUGGGGUGCAAAACUGCUUUUAUAUGAGGGUAGUUACCAUAAGAAUAAGGACCGGCUAAUUCCGUGCCAGCAGCCGCGGUAAUAC
rnacentral:rRNA from 1 species